rnacentral:lncRNA from 1 species
UUACCAAAUGAUAUUAGAGUACGGGUUGUACAUUUCAUCGCUUGGUUAGUGGCAUGAAGGAGAGUACGGGUUGUACAUUUUAUCAUCUGGUUGGUGGCAUGAAGAUGAGUUACUUCUUCACCUGGUUGGUGGCAUGAGUGGCAAGUUUCCAAAUGAUAUUAGAGUACUGGUUGUACAUUUCAUCACCUGGUUGGUGGCAUGAAUGAGAGUACGAGUUGUACAUUUCAUCACUUGGUUGGUGGCAUGAAGAAG